rnacentral:rRNA from 1 species
UUCCUACGGGCGGCAGCAGUGGGGAAUAUUGCGCAAUGGGCGAAAGCCUGACGCAGCCAUACCGCGUGUGUGAAGAAGGCCUUCGGGUUGUAAAGCACUUUCAGUGGGGAGGAAAAGCUGGUGGCUAAUAUCCAUCGGCCGUGACGCUACCCACAGAAGAAGCACCGGCUAAUUCCGUGCCAGCGGCCGCGGUAAUACGGAGGGUGCGAGCGUUAAUCGGAAUGACUGGGCGUAAAGCGAACGUAGGUGGCUUGGUAAGUCGGAUGUGAAAGCCCCGGGCUCAACCUGUGAACUGCAUUCGAUACUGCUGAGCUAGAGUACGAAAGAGGGGGGUGGAAUUCCAGGUGUAGCGGUGAAAUGCGUAGAGAUCUGGAGGAACACCAGUGGCGAAGGCGGCCCCCUGGUUCGAUACUGACGCUGAGGUGCGAAAGCGUGGGGAGCAAACAGGAUUAGAUACCCGGGUAGUC